rnacentral:rRNA from 1 species
AUUGAACGCUGGCGGAAUGCUUUACACAUGCAAGUCGAACGGUAGAGGGGGCAACCCCUUGAGAGUGGCGAACGGGUGAGUAAUAUAUCGGAACGUGCCCAGUCGUGGGGGAUAACGUAGUGAAAAUUACGCUAAUACCGCAUACGAUCUAAGGAUGAAAGCGGGGGAUCGCAAGACCUCGCGCGAUUGGAGCGGCCGAUAUCAGAUUAGGUAGUUGGUGAGGUAAAGGCUCACCAAGCCAACGAUCUGUAGCUGGUCUGAGAGGACGACCAGCCACACUGGAACUGAGACACGGUCCAGACUCCUACGGGAGGCAGCAGUGGGGAAUUUUGCGCAAUGGGGGAAACCCUGACGCAGCGACGCCGUGUGAGGGAAGAAGGCUUUCGGGUCGUAAACCUCUGUCGGGAAGGAAGAAUCCCUCAGGUCCGAAUAGGAUCUGGGGCUGACGGUACUUCCAAAGGAAGCACCGGCUAACUCCGUG